rnacentral:rRNA from 1 species
AACCGAUGAAGGGUGUCAGUACUACGUGCCGCGUUAAGAGCCAAACGGGUGGGACCUCGAAGGUCGAACCGAGGGGAUUCAGCUCGUCGGCCAGAGCCGGCUGGGCGGGGGAUUCGCUGAGGCGACCCAGGAACUCUUGGGCGUGCCCCCGUCCGAGCUGGCGCCGGCGGGCGUAUUUCCCCUCGUGACGUAGGUCGCCGCGACCCGUUGCUGGGGACGUCGAAGGCCCGGGCGGACUGGUACCCCGACGCCGUGCGUUCAUAGCGCCGACGAAGGGGGAAACCUCCGGUGUCCUGGCUGCCCUGCGACGGUCGUGCAAAUGAGGGGCUCUUGCCAGCCACUCUCGCGGCGUGCAAAAGUACGGAGCCUCAGCC